GGCUCUUUGUUGAUAUAAUUAAAGAGUCUUACCUGCCCGGUGACUUAACUGUUUAACGGCCGCAGUAUUUUGACUGUGCGAAGGUAGCAUAAUCAUUUGCCUUAUAAUUGAAGGCUAGAAUGAAAGGUUUGACGAGAACGAUGCUGUCUCUAGUAUACUGUUUAGAAAUUAUAUUUUAAGUUAAAAUACUUAAAUUAUAUUGGGGGACGAGAAGACCCUAUCGAGCUUUAAGUAAAAUUAUUAAAAUUAGUGUAUAAAUUAGAUUUGAAUUUUAAAAAUGUGCUUUUGGUUGGGGCGACCAAGGAACAGACAAAACGUCCUUUUAUAAAAUUAAAUUGUUAUUUAUGAUCCAAUACUUAUUGAUAAAAAGAAUUAGUUACCGUAGGGAUAACAGCGUAAUUUUUUUUGAGAGUCCAUAUCGAAAAAAAAGAUUGCGACCUCGAUGUUGAAUUAAGGUACCAGAAGGGAGGAGCCAUUCUUUAGGUUAGUCUGUUCGACUAUUAAAGCCUU
rnacentral:rRNA from 1 species